UUAAUUGAUUCACACAUACAUUAAAACAAAAAUAACUACACUGAAAUUCAGCUGGAAGCCUGGCUCCUCGUUUGUCAUAAAGCCUGCUGUUGGUGAUAGCUGACAAAGACCCUAAUGCGGAAUGGGUUGAGGUUCCCUUACUGACCUCACCUUUGUUUCUGUCUGCGAACAAGAGCCUUGAAACACACCAGAAUGCUUUAAGAAUCAUAGGAGGCAUGUCAUGUCUCUUCUUCACGUUGAGGCUGAACAUUCUUCUAGGCUGGUCAAGUAACCAAGAGAUCAGUUAAGUUUUUCAGGAAAACUCAUGAUCUACCUUUGAUGUGUUGACAUGUGAGAAACAGCUCUGAGACCUAUCAGCUGACAACUGCUACACCAGCAGAUAAUACUUAGUCACACUUUACAAAGGCACUUCAGUUUGCAAUUCCUGGUCUAAGAUUGAGCUUGGUUGAGAAAAGAAGGGAAAAAGAAAAAGACAAAGAGGAAGACAAAGAAGGGAAAAAGGAAGAGGAGGCAGAGGAAGAAGAAAUUUGCACCUCUCCCUGAAAUGAGGGGAAGGACUCGGUCAGUGUGAAAGGAUAUCCGUGUUAUGGAGGAAGCAAGCUUUGUAUCCAGAAAAGAAUGGUUCCUCUACCAGUCCACCCCAAAAUUUCUGGCAUGUUUUGUGACUAAGAAAAUGGCUCCCGCAGAGUCUGUAAACAAUUUUGGUUUUUCUUUUUCAGGAAUAGAAAAUCACUGGAGAAUAGAAA
rnacentral:lncRNA from 1 species